CCCCGAAACUGCAUUUGAUGAUCCUAAUCACCUAGGAAAAAUGUAGUGAAUAAGAGACCUUCAAGAGAUCAACAUCCCAUGUCCUCCACAGUAUCAAGUUUUGUCAGUUUCAGUACAUGCCCCUCGAAAGUUCUGUGCACGGCCCUGAAACAGACUAGAACAUGUUUAAAGAGGCAGCCACCUACAACGACCACACAGAAUUGCAGGAGUACACUGAAACUGUGAGUGCUUAUAUCAAAAAAGUGCAUUGAUGAUUUGACAGUCACCAAGACCAUCAUCACACGUGCAAACCAGAAGCCAGCAUUCAACACAAUAAUCACACAACAACUCAUCAACAAACUAAACCUGCUGGGCCUUAAUAACUCCCUCUGUAAUUGGAUCCUGGACUUUCUAACUGGAAAAUCUCAGUCAGUCCAUGUCGGCCACAAUACCUCGAGCACUAUCAGCCUUGUGGGGCACUACAGGCUGUGAGAGCCCUCAAUUCCAAUCACCUCAUCCACAACCCUACCUACUGAAACCAAGAUCCUCUCUCCUCCCAUCCCAUCACACCACAUGUACCACGUGUGAACCGUUAAAAACCUCAAAAACAUUGUGCAACUCUGAGUGUGCUACAAACAGGUGAGUGGGCUGGACAAAACACCUGUAGAAACACGCUCUUUUUCUCUCUAAAUGCACCAGACACUUUUUUUAGAAACACUUCUUGUUACAAGAACUUAAGGACUUGACAAAUGUUUAAUUGUGAAUGUACCACAAAUCAUAUUGCACUAUUUGCUUCUUAACUUUAAACACCUCUUUUGCACAGUAUCAUGCACAGUUAUUAUGUAAAGUACUUGUAUAGUCUGUCUUAGGUUACGUGUGUGUAUAGUUAACUAUUUAUACGGUAACACUCUAUUUCGAUAGUCCACUUUAGACAUUCUACUAACAGUAAGUAACUUUGCAACUACGUCAACUAGCAGUUAGUAGAGUAUUAGUAGACUGUUUGCUUAAUAUCUUCUAACACUUUCUUUGUAAACUUAUUGUUAACUUAUACUAACCCUAAAC
ensembl:lncRNA